GAACCCCGGCGAGGGGAGUGAAAAAGAACCUGAAACCGUGUACGUACAAGCAGUGGGAGCACGCUUAGGCGUGUGACUGCGUACCUUUUGUAUAAUGGGUCAGCGACUUAUAUUCUGUAGCAAGGUUAACCGAAUAGGGGAGCCGAAGGGAAACCGAGUCUUAACUGGGCGUUAAGUUGCAGGGUAUAGACCCGAAACCCGGUGAUCUAGCCAUGGGCAGGUUGAAGGUUGGGUAACACUAACUGGAGGACCGAACCGACUAAUGUUGAAAAAUUAGCGGAUGACUUGUGGCUGGGGGUGAAAGGCCAAUCAAACCGGGAGAUAGCUGGUUCUCCCCGAAAGCUAUUUAGGUAGCGCCUCGUGAAUUCAUCUCCGGGGGUAGAGCACUGUUUCGGCAAGGGGGUCAUCCCGACUUACCAACCCGAUGCAAACUGCGAAUACCGGAGAAUGUUAUCACGGGAGACACACGGCGGGUGCUAACGUCCGUCGUGAAGAGGGAAACAACCCAGACCGCCAGCUAAGGUCCCAAAGUCAUGGUUAAGUGGGAAACGAUGUGGGAAGGCCCAGACAGCCAGGAUGUUGGCUUAGAAGCAGCCAUCAUUUAAAGAAAGCGUAAUAGCUCACUGGUCGAGUCGGCCUGCGCGGAAGAUGUAACGGGGCUAAACCAUGCACCGAAGCUGCGGCAGCGACACUAUGUGUUGUUGGGUAGGGGAGCGUUCUGUAAGCCUGUGAAGGUGUGCUGUGAGGCAUGCUGGAGGUAUCAGAAGUGCGAAUGCUGACAUAAGUAACGAUAAAGCGGGUGAAAAGCCCGCUCGCCGGAAGACCAAGGGUUCCUGUCCAACGUUAAUCGGGGCAGGGUGAGUCGACCCCUAAGGCGAGGCCGAAAGGCGUA
rnacentral:rRNA from 1 species